CAUUACAAGAAGCCGAAAGGCUACUUAAAACCAUCGCGAACUUAUCCAAGUUGCUUCGGCGGCGCGGCUCCCCUCACGGGGUGCCGCAGCCCCGCCUCUCCGGAGGUGACGGGCACCCGCCGGAGGUACGAAACUCUAUUGUAUUAUAGUGGCAUCUCUGAGUAAAAAACAAAUAAGUUAAAACUUUCAACAACGGAUCUCUUGGUUCUGGCAUCGAUGAAGAACGCAGCGAAAUGCGAUAAGUAAUGUGAAUUGCAGAAUUCAGUGAAUCAUCGAAUCUUUGAACGCACAUUGCGCCCGCUAGUACUCUAGCGGGCAUGCCUGUUCGAGCGUCAUUUCAACCCUCAAGCUCUGCUUGGUGUUGGGGCCCUACGUCUGACGUAGGCCCUGAAAGGAAGUGGCGGGCUCGCUACAACUCCGAGCGUAGUAAUUCAUUAUCUCGCUAGGGAGGUGCGGCGUGCUCCUGCCGUUAAAGACCCCAUCUUUAACCAAAGGUGACCU
rnacentral:rRNA from 1 species